AACGCUACUCGUUGCAACGUUCGAAACCACGAAUCCCUCUCUCUGCCUCUCAGCCAUGGAAGCCCGAUGGGAAAAGGAAAAAAAGAAAGAAAAAGGAAAAAGAGUCUCGCUUUCUCACAGCCGUGGAAGCCUGAGGGAAGAAAAAAAAGAAAGAGAGAGGAAAAGGAGAGAGAAGAAAAUGGCCUUGUUUCUUCCCAAAAUCUCGUCCUCUCCCCUCCUUCCUCACCAUUGCCCUUCCCAAAAUUCCCCAACGAGGCCCUUCCUCUCUUCUUCAUCACUAACUAAUCUCGAGCCCCCGCCCGUCCACGAUGCUACGCGCGAGAAGCCCCCGGCGCUGCACGGCAAGCCCCCCGCCGCGUUGCACGAAACCAAGAAGAAAAGCGAGAAGAACAGCAAUAAGGGCGACUCCUAUCUCAACCUCGGCCUCGUCGUCCGCACCCUCCGCGACGACCUCCCCUCCCUCUUCUCCAAAGACCUCAACUACGACAUCUACCGGGAUGAUAUCACCUUCGUCGAUCCGCUCAAUACCUUUCAUGGGAUCGAGAACUAUAAAUUGAUCUUCUGGGCGCUCCGAUUGCAUGGCCGGAUUUUGUUUCGGGAGAUUGGGCUUGAGAUUUUCCGGGUUUGGCAGCCAUCGGAGUACAUGAUCUUGAUCCGUUGGGAGCUGCAGGGGGUCCCCCGGGUGCCGUGGGAGGCAAGGGGAAGAUUCCAGGGGACGUCGAGGUAUCGACUGGAUCGGAAUGGGAAGAUAUAUGAGCAUAAAGUUGACAACUUGGCGUUCAAUUUUCCCCGGGCGGCGGUCGGGACGGUGACCGUGAUGGAUUUGGUGGCUACCACAUGCCCUCUGAGUCCCAAUUUGACGUUUUGGGGGGAGGCGGUGGAGCGUUCUGGUGUUUUGGGGUCAUGCUCGUGGGCGAAGCUUUAUCAGGCGGUGAGAGGAACUCUGGAGCAAGAGGAGCAAGGUUUGUUUGGGAUUGGUAUCGAGGGUUUUGUCACUUGUUCAUAGCUUGGGCAUUGGAAGAAAGCUGGUGAUGUAUAUAUCGAGGAUGAUCCAAUGGCUUAGUAUGGGAUUAAGUAGAUCAAAAAUUCACCUAGUGAAUAUGUAUCUACAUGGUGAUGUUUCCUGACAGCAAUGCUCCAUUUGACAUUACACUUCUUUAGCAAAUCAAAUUCUCCUUCACUUCAUCAGAGACAGUCAUGAUACCCUAUCGGAAGGAAUGACUAGUUUUCUUCCAUAUCUUGUGAGAGGUGAACCAAGCCCUUGUCCUCACAAGAAAGCCUUUCUGGCAAGAGGUGACAAUUGAAUACCCAUUUUAACUUCAUUAGGGAUCUAGUAGUCUCUGAUUGUCAGGAGGCAAAAUCCUUGUAGAGAUGGUUAGCAUGUAAGUGCAGGUAGCCUCAACUGAAAUACAAUAGCCACUAUCUGAUUUCAGAAAGGGUGUGAAAGUUUGGUCCGGUCCCACCAGGACCUAAGAACAUAUGGCGUCUAUUGGAAAUCCAUGACACCAUGGUUUCACAUGAUGUGGAAUGGUAUAAUGAGGCUAGUACUUUAUUUUAAAAGAGUUAGCUACAAUUUGUUGCAACUUUUGCAUCCUUAAGUUUUUUAUGGUCAGUUUUGAUGCUGUACAUGGAAAAUGAUUAAAUGCCAUCCUUGAGCAUGAUGGUUUGGAGUAGUGGGAGGGGUGCCAUUGGGGUGAUCUGAUGACUAUGAUGAUUUAAUUUUAAAAACUGAGCGGUGCUUUAGUUUGAUUUAUGAUAUGUUGUAAUUGGUUAUUGCCAUCUGGUACAAAAGCUUCUUUCCUAUUGUUUCAGUGUUGAUGGUUUACGAACCCAAUGGAAAGUGCUGUAGUCACUCAAACCUACUUUGACUUGGUUCUGUAAUGAACAAACUUACAUGUUAAUAUGACAUUAUAUCUUCUGUUGGGUGUUGUUAAAA